GCAUCGAUAGCUCAGUGGCAGAGCAGUGGGGUGUUGACCCAUGCGGCCCGGGUUCGAGCCCCGAUAGAUGCA